rnacentral:rRNA from 1 species
GAUGAACGCUGGCGGCGUGCCUAAUACAUGCAAGUCGAGCGAACAGAUGAGGAGCUUGCUCCUCUGACGUUAGCGGCGGACGGGUGAGUAACACGUGGAUAACCUACCUAUAAGACUGGGAUAACUUCGGGAAACCGGAGCUAAUACCGGAUAAUAUAUUGAACCGCAUGGUUCAAUAGUGAAAGACGGUUUUGCUGCCACUUAUAGAUGGAUCCGCGCCGCAUUAGCUAGUUGGUAAGGUAACGGCUUACCAAGGCAACGAUGCGUAGCCGACCUGAGAGGGUGAACGGCCACACUGGAACUGAGACGCGGUCCAGGCUCCUACGGGAGGCAGCAGUAGGGAAUCUUCCGAAAUGGGCGAAAGCCUGACGGAGCAACGCCGCGUGGGUGAUGAAGGUCUUCGGAUCGUAAAACUCUUUUAUUAGGGAAGAACAAAUGUGUAAGUAACUAUGCACGUCUUGACGGUACCUAAUCAGAAAGCCACGGCUAACUACGU